GGGAAAAUUAGUUGAUUAUAUUAUAAUAAAAAAAUUUUUAAAUAAAAUAUUUUAAUUGGGGGAGUUAAAGUAUAUUUAUUGAAAAAAUUAAAUAAUUUAUAGUAAAUUAGUAUUGUAAAAGAAUUUUGAAAUAAAAAAAAAUUAAUAGUAAGUAAUUUUAAUUUAAUGUAUCUUGUGUAUCAGAGUUUAUUAAAAAAUAUUUUUAGAUAAAAAAUUCUCGAAUUUAAAAGAGAUAAUUAAUUAAUAAAGUUAUUGUGGCAUAAAUAUUUAAAAUAAUUAAUUUGAAAUGAAAUGUUAAUCGUUUUUAAAUAUAUCUAGUUUUUUUAGAAAAAAAUUAAAUUUUUUAUUAUUUUAUAAAAAAAUUAAUUAAUUAAUUUUUUUAUAAAAUAAUAUUAUAUUUUAAGGGAUAAGCUUUAAUUUAAAUUUAUAUAAAUAAAAUAAAAUAAAAAUUAAUUGAAAUUUAUAUAAUUUAUAUUGUUAAAAAAUUUUAAUUUAUUAUAAAUAAUUUCAUUUAAAAUAAGAUUUAAUAAAAUUUUAUAUUUUUAUAAAGAAAAAUUUUUAAAUAAGAAAAAAAUUAAUAUAAUGAUAAAAUUAGUAUAUAAAAUAUAUAUUAUAUUAAAAUAUUAUAAAAAAAAAAAUUAAUUAAAAGGAAUUCGGCAAAAAUUUAUAUUCACUUGUUUAUCAAAAACAUGUCUUUUUGAAAAUAAUAUAAAGUCUAAUCUGCCCACUGAUUUAUAAUUAAAGGGCUGCAGUAAUUUGACUGUACAAAGGUAGCAUAAUCAUUAGUCAUUUAAUUGAUGACUUGUAUGAAAGAUUGGAUGAAAUAUAAACUGUCUCUUAAUUAUAUUUAGAAUUUAAUUUUUUAAUUAAAAAGUUAAAAUAAUUUAAAAAGACGAGAAGACCCUAUAGAGUUUUAUAAAUUAAUUAAUUAAAAUUAUUUUUAAAUAAAAAAUUGAGAUUAUUUUAUUUAUUUUGUUGGGGUGACAGAAAAAUAUAAUAAACUUUUUUUAAAUAAAAACAUUUAUAAGUGAAUAAAUGAUCCAUUAUUAUUGAUUAUAAGAUAAAAUUACCUUAGGGAUAACAGCGUAAUUUUUUUUUUUAGUUCAUAUAAAAAAAAGAGUUUGCGACCUCGAUGUUGGAUUAAGAUAAAAUUUAAAUGCAGAAGUUUAAAAUUUUUGAUCUGUUCGAUCAUUAAAAUCUUACAUGAUCUGAGUUCAAACCGGUGUAAGCCAGGUUGGUUUCUAUCUUUUAAUAUAUAAAAUAUUUUAGUACGAAAGGAUUAAAUAUUUAAAUUAAAUUUAUAUUUUUGAAUUUUAUU
rnacentral:rRNA from 1 species